CAGAUAUAGUGGAUUAUUGGGUUACCUUUAACGAGCCUCAUGUCUUUUGUAUGCUCACUUACUGUGCUGGUGCCUGGCCUGGUGGUAAUCCUGAUAUGCUGGAGGUUGCUACUUCUGCUUUACCUACAGGUGUCUUCAAUCAGACCAUGAACUGGAUAGCAAUUGCGCAUACAAAGGCAUAUGAUUAUAUUCAUGAAAAGAGCAAACCAGCAAGUGCCAUUGUUGGAGUAGCUCACCAUGUCUCAUUUAUGCGUCCAUAUGGACUGUUUGACGUCGCUGCUGUUUCCGUUGCCAAUUCCAUGACCCUUUUUCCUUUUCUGGAUUGUAUAUCUGAUAAAAUGGAUUACAUUGGAAUCAAUUACUAUGGACAGGAAGUCAUUUGUGGUGCAGGAUUGAAACUAGUCGAGACAGAUGAGUACAGCGAAUCUGGGCGUGGUGUGUAUCCUGACGGCUUGUUCCGUGUGUUGCUGCAAUUUGAUGAAAGAUACAAACAUCUUAAUCUUCCCUUUAUAAUAACUGAAAAUGGUGUUUCUGAUGGAACGGACUUGAUUAGACAACCAUACUUGUUGGAACAUCUACUUGCAACUUAUGCUGCCAUGAUGAUGGGUGUUCGUGUACUUGGUUACUUGUUUUGGACGAUCUCUGAUAACUGGGAGUGGGCAGAUGGGUAUGGUCCCAAGUUUGGACUUGUAGCAGUUGAUCGUGCCAAUGAUCUCGCUCGGAUUCCUCGCCCUUCAUACAAUUUGUUUUCAAAGGUUGCGGAAUCCGGAAAAAUAACGCGGGAAGACAGGGAACAGGUGUGGGGUGAGCUCCAAACUGCUGCUAAAGAAGGAAAAAGGAGACCAUUCUAUCGAUCAGUGAAUAAAUAUGGCUUAAUGUAUGCAGGAGGACUUGAUGAGCCCAUAUGGAGACCUUAUAUAAAGAGAGAUUGGCGGUUUGGGCACUAUGAGAUGGAAGGUUUACAGGAUCCCUUGAGCCGUUUAGCACGAUAUCUUCUCCAUCCUCUCUCUUUUAAACAGAAGGCACAGACUCAGAGAGAGAGUGAUCAAUUGACUCUUGAGCCUCUCAGCGCAAACAUCUAGUUACAACUGUAUCAGAUUGUUUAAAGAAUUCUGCUUGAGAAUCCUAAACUGGACGCCAUUCUAAGUUGUAGGAAGCUAAGAUGGGAUUAAACAGUUGAAUAAAUUAAUCUCUAGGUGAGAUGUUUGACUUGGAAAUUGAGAAAUGCAAUUUAUAUUGGUGCAAUUUAUAUUUGCUUUGGAGGAUAGCAUUUGUAUGAUAGACUUUCUUCAAGUGUUAGUUUGAAGGAUUAGCUCUAGCAUUUUGUAGAUACUGAAGUGCGAUUGUACAAGUGAAGAACUAAUGUUAUACUUUG
rnacentral:misc_RNA from 1 species